GGGCUGACAUUGUAUGAUUUAAAUCUAGGACAGGACAAAGAGAAAUUAGUAAGGGAAGUGAAGAUGGGUUUAGAAGUAGAAAGAGAAAGAGUUUGGAUGGAGAAUUGCGGGAUUUUCAUGGGUUUUUGGGAGAGAGCGAAAAGUGUGAUGACUCUGGGGACGGCACCAGUGGCAGCCAUGUCUUUGUAACGGUAUUUAGAAAGCCAGAUAGAGGAUAUGCUGCUCAAUU
rnacentral:misc_RNA from 1 species